rnacentral:rRNA from 1 species
UACGGAAGGCAGCAGUGGGGAAUAUUGCACAAUGGGCGAAAGCCUGAUGCAGCUAUGCCGCGUGUAUGAAGAAGGCCUUAGGGUUGUAAAGUACUUUCAUCGGGGAGGAAAAACAAAACUAAUAAUUUUAUUUCUUGACGUUACCCGAAAAAGAAGCACCGGCUAACUCCGUGCCAGCAGCCGCGGUAAUACGGAGGGUGCUAGCGUUAAUCAGAAUUACUGGGCGUAAAGAGCACGUAGGUGGUUUUUUUAAGUCAGAUGUGAAAUCCCUGGGCUUAACCUAGGAACUGCAUUUUGAAACUGAAAUACUAGAGUAUCGUAGAGGGAGGUAGAAUUCUAGGUGUAGCGGUGAAAUGCGUAGAUAUCUGGAGGAAUACCUGUGGCGGAAAGCGGCCUCCUAAACGAAUACUGACACUGAGGUGCGAAAGCGUGGGGAGCAAAACAGGGAUUAGAUACC